rnacentral:rRNA from 1 species
CCUACGGGAGGCUGCAGUGAGGAAUAUUGGUCAAUGGGCGGGAGCCUGAACCAGCCAAGUCGCGUGAGGGAAGACGGUCCUAUGGAUUGUAAACCUCUUUAGGCGGGGAGCAAUGCCGGGCACGCGUGCCCGGAGGGAGAGUACCCGCAGAAUAAGCAUCGGCUAACUCCGUGCCAGCCGCCGCGGUAAUACGGAGGAUGCGAGCGUUAUCCGGAUUUAUUGGGUUUAAAGGGUGCGUGGGCGGCUUUUUAAGUCAGCGGUAAAAUGUGCGGGCGCAACCCGGGCCGGCCGUUGAAACUGGGGGUCUUGAGUGGGCGAGAAGUAGGCGGAAUGCGUGGUGUAGCGGUGAAAUGCAUAGAUAUCGCGCAGAACUCCGAUUGUGAAGGCAGCAUACCGGCGCCCGACUGACGCUGAGGCACGAAAGCGUGGGGAUCGAACAGGAUUAGAUACCCUUGUAGUC